rnacentral:rRNA from 2 species
UCAGGACGAACGCUGGCGGCGUGCUUAACACAUGCAAGUCGAACGAUGAUGCCCAGCUUGCUGGGUGGAUUAGUGGCGAACGGGUGAGUAACACGUGAGUAACCUGCCCCUGACUCUGGGAUAAGCGUUGGAAACGACGUCUAAUACUGGAUAUGACUGCCGGCCGCAUGGUCUGGUGGUGGAAAGAUUUUUUGGUUGGGGAUGGACUCGCGGCCUAUCAGCUUGUUGGUGAGGUAAUGGCUCACCAAGGCGACGACGGGUAGCCGGCCUGAGAGGGUGACCGGCCACACUGGGACUGAGACACGGCCCAGACUCCUACGGGAGGCAGCAGUGGGGAAUAUUGCACAAUGGGCGAAAGCCUGAUGCAGCAACGCCGCGUGAGGGAUGACGGCCUUCGGGUUGUAAACCUCUUUUAGUAGGGAAGAAGCGUAAGUGACGGUACCUGCAGAAAAAGCACCGGCUAACUACGUGCCAGCAGCCGCGGUAAUACGUAGGGUGCAAGCGUUGUCCGGAAUUAUUGGGCGUAAAGAGCUCGUAGGCGGUUUGUCGCGUCUGCUGUGAAAUCCCGAGGCUCAACCUCGGGCUUGCAGUGGGUACGGGCAGACUAGAGUGCGGUAGGGGAGAUUGGAAUUCCUGGUGUAGCGGUGGAAUGCGCAGAUAUCAGGAGGAACACCGAUGGCGAAGGCAGAUCUCUGGGCCGUAACUGACGCUGAGGAGCGAAAGCGUGGGGAGCGAACAGGAUUAGAUACCCUGGUAGUCCACGCCGUAAACGUUGGGCGCUAGAUGUAGGGACCUUUCCACGGUUUCUGUGUCGUAGCUAACGCAUUAAGCGCCCCGCCUGGGGAGUACGGCCGCAAGGCUAAAACUCAAAGGAAUUGACGGGGGCCCGCACAAGCGGCGGAGCAUGCGGAUUAAUUCGAUGCAACGCGAAGAACCUUACCAAGGCUUGACAUACACCGGAAACGGCCAGAGAUGGUUGCCCCCUUGUGGUCGGUGUACAGGUGGUGCAUGGUUGUCGUCAGCUCGUGUCGUGAGAUGUUGGGUUAAGUCCCGCAACGAGCGCAACCCUCGUUCUAUGUUGCCAGCGCGUUAUGGCGGGGACUCAUAGGAGACUGCCGGGGUCAACUCGGAGGAAGGUGGGGAUGACGUCAAAUCAUCAUGCCCCUUAUGUCUUGGGCUUCACGCAUGCUACAAUGGCCGGUACAAAGGGCUGCGAUACCGUAAGGUGGAGCGAAUCCCAAAAAGCCGGUCUCAGUUCGGAUUGAGGUCUGCAACUCGACCUCAUGAAGUCGGAGUCGCUAGUAAUCGCAGAUCAGCAACGCUGCGGUGAAUACG